rnacentral:rRNA from 1 species
UGGGGAAUCUUGCACAAUGGGGGCAACCCUGAUGCAGCGACGCCGCGUGAGCGAUGAAGCCCUUCGGGGCGUAAAGCUCUUUCGACCGGAACGAUAAUGACGGUACCGGGAGAAGAAGCUGCGGCUAACUACGUGCAGCAGCCGCGGUAAUACGUAGGCAGCAAGCGUUGUUCGGAGUUACUGGGCGUAAAGAGUGCGUAGGCGGUUUUCUAAGUUCGGUGUGAAAUCUCCCGGCUUAACUGGGAGGGUGCGCCGAAGACUGGGAAGCUGGAGUGUGGGAAAGGCAGGCGGAAUUCCUGGUGUAGCGGUGAAAUGCGUAGAUAUCAGGAGGAACACCGGCGGUGUAGACGGCUUGCUAGACCAUAACUGACGCUGAGGCACGAAAGCGUGGGUAGCAAACA